GACAUAAGAGCAGCACUGACGCGUAUCCUUGAUACUGAAAAAGGCACUGCUUGCAUGAGCACACUGGACCUCAUCUGGACCUCAUGGCAGUACAGACACGUUGCAAUAUGUGAUGAUGGGAUCGGGUUCACUUGCCGCGAUGGCUGGGUUUGAGGCACAUUACCAUCCUGACAUGGAGGAGGAGGAUGUCAAGUUAUUGGUACGCAAUGCAAUAGCAGCCGGAGUUUUCAAUGAUUUGAUCAGAACACAAACAUUCUCUACCUCCACAUUUCCCAAGUUAUCCUUGGUUGAUAUCAAUAGACCAACAUCGACUUGUGUGUUAUCACGGCUGACAACCUCAGACCUUUUGAUGAAGCCAAUGUGAAAGGAGAGAGACAAGGAGACUACAGCUAUAAGAGAGGAACAACAGCUGUUUUGCAUGAGCGUGUCGUUCCUAUUCCAUUUGAAGUGACAGACGAGCAAGUGAGACAGCUGGGAGAGGAACAAAUGGAGAGAUA